AGAGUUUGAUCAUGGCUCAGAACGAACGCUGGCGGCGUGGAUAAGACAUGCAAGUCGAGCGAGAUUUUUUCCUGUAGCAAUACAGGGAAAAGUCUAGCGGCGAACGGGUGCGUAACACGUGGGCAACCUGCCAAGAAGUGGGGGAUAGCUCGCCGAAAGGCGAAUUAAUACCGCAUGUGAUCAGAGUGGACAUCCAUUCAAAAUCAAAGUCGGGGCAACCUGACGCUUCUUGAGGGGCCCGCGGCCUAUCAGCUAGUUGGUGAGGUAACGGCCCACCAAGACUUAGACGGGUAGCUGGUCUGAGAGGACGACCAGCCACACUGGGACUGAGACACGGCCCAGACACCUACGGGUGGCAGCAGUCGAGAAUUUUUCUCAAUGGGGGAAACCCUGAAGGAGCGACGCCGCGUGGAGGAUGAAGGUCUUCGGGUUGUAAACUCCUGUCAUUUGGGAACAAUGCGCAAAUAUUAACUGUAUUUGCGUUGAUAGUACCAGAAGAGGAAGGGACGGCUAACUCUGUGCCAGCAGCCGCGGUAAUACAGAGGUCCCAAGCGUUGUUCGGAUUCAUUGGGCGUAAAGGGUGCGUAGGCGGCGCGGUAAGUCGGGUGUGAAUCUCGGGGCUUAACUCCGAAACUGCAUUCGAUACUGCCGUGCUUGAGGACUGGAGAGGAGACUGGAAUUUACGGUGUAGCGGUGAAAUGCGUAGAUAUCGUAAGGAAGACCAGUGGCGAAAGGCGGGUCUCUGGACAGUUCCUGACGCUGAGGCACGAAAGGCCAGGGGAGCAAACGGGAUUAGAUACCCCGGUAGUCCUGGCAGUAAACGGUGCACGUUUGGUGUGGGAGGAUUCGACCCCUUCUGCGCCGGAGCUAACGCGUUAAACGUGCCGCCUGGGGAGUACGGUCGCAAGAUUAAAACUCAAAGAAAUUGACGGGGCCCGCACAAGCGUG
rnacentral:rRNA from 1 species